rnacentral:rRNA from 1 species
UCCAGACUCCUACGGGAGGCAGCAGUGAGGAAUAUUGGUCAAUGGGCGGGAGCCUGAACCAGCCAAGCCGCGUGAAGGAAGAAGGCGCCAGGCGUCGUAAACUUCUUUUGUCGGGGAACAAAGGGCGCCACGCGUGGCGUUGUGAGUGUACCCGAAGAAAAAGCAUCGGCUAACUCCGUGCCAGCAGCCGCGGUAAUACGGAGGAUGCGAGCGUUAUCCGGAUUUAUUGGGUUUAAAGGGUGCGUAGGCGGGCUGUUAAGUCAGCGGUCAAAUGUCGGGGCUCAACCCCGGCCUGCCGUUGAAACUGGCGGCCUCGAGUGGGCGAGAAGUAUGCGGAAUGCGCGGUGUAGCGGUGAAAUGCAUAGAUAUCACGCAGAACUCCGAUUGCGAAGGCAGCAUACCGGCGCCCUACUGACGCUGAGGCACGAAAGCGUGGGUAUCGAACAGGAUUAGAUACCCGUGUAC